rnacentral:sRNA from 1 species
AUGUACCACUCGUACACUCCAGUUGUUAUGCGCCGUCCGCAGUUACCUACCGACUGCUCGCUAAGUGUUGCCAGCU